UACAGAGGGGGCAAGCGUUGUUCGGAAUUACUGGGCGUAAAGGGCGCGUCGGCGGCCUGCUAAGUCGAACGUGAAAUCCCCGAGCUCAACUCGGGAACUGCGUCCGAUACUGACAGGCUUGAAUCCGGGAGAGGGAUGCGGAAUUCCAGGUGUAGCGGUGAAAUGCGUAGAUAUCGAGAGGAACACCUGCGGCGAAGGCGGGUUGCUGGGCUGACACUGACGCUGAAGCGCGAAAGCUAGGGGAGCGAACGGG
rnacentral:rRNA from 1 species